GUCACAAGUUGAAACUUGAAAGGGGAAAAUGAAGCUAUAAGUUGCAGAAAAGGCCAUCUUGCUUGUAUAUAAAAAGAAGAGCUUAUCCAUGCUCUCCACAAUCCAAGGGUACUGUCGAUUGUUUGAAAGGGGCAAAGAGAAGAAACAUAUUAAAAUAUAUCCUCACUCAUUACCACUUCUCAUCAAUAUUAGCUUUUGCCUUUUUGACUAUUCUCCAUGCACAGUCUUUCCACAUUUAGCUUCAAAACUUCUCCAACUUGACAUGGAUUAGUGCUAUUUGACGCACAGAUUCUCACAUCCAAAUACAAAAAUGGGGUAAUAAGUGGACGGUGCAAAGCCCUUCUUGCUUGUAAAAAGCAGAGGUAAAGUAUGGAUUAAAGAAAGAUUUAAGUGUGUUUACUUUCACUGUUGUUUCUUGGGUCCAAGAGGCUUAUAUACUGGGAAUAUUAGAUAGACUGAACCAAGGCAAAAUCCAAAGUCCUCGGGUUUCUUUCUGUCUGAACUAAUUGCCUUCCAGCACCGAACCAUGCCGAGAAAGAAGAGGAAGAAGAUGGUGCUAAGAAUCCCAAGUGUUGGAUAAUGUAACUACCCUCUUCUUCCUUCACUGGAUGCAAGGGGACACAAGGCAAGUCAUCAAGGCAAAGGGAAGGUCAUGCCUUUCUUCUGGGUUUUCUUAGUUCUUUUGUGUUCAUGCCAUCAUUGGCAUAAACUGCUUAUGUUUUCAACCAAGAUUCCUGUACUGGUAGGUUAAAGCUGUGCCGAGCUGUACUUUUUAUUGUAAAAUGUGACUUCUUCCAUGAUGCUAGUAUGAGUUUUCUACGUA